ACCUCGGAUCAGGUAGGAAUACCCGCUGAACUUAAGCAUAUCAAUAAGCGGAGGAAAAGAAACCAACAGGGAUUGCCCCAGUAACGGCGAGUGAAGCGGCAACAGCUCAAAUUUGAAAUCUGGCCCCUCGGGGUCCGAGUUGUAAUUUGUAGAGGAUGCUUUUGGUGAGGUGCCGCCCGAGUUCCCUGGAACGGGACGCCACAGAGGGUGAGAGCCCCGUCUGGCUGGCCACCGAGCCUCUGUAAAGCUCCUUCGACGAGUCGAGUAGUUUGGGAAUGCUGCUCAAAAUGGGAGGUAUAUGUCUUCUAAAGCUAAAUAUUGGCCAGAGACCGAUAGCGCACAAGUAGAGUGAUCGAAAGAUGAAAAGCACCUUGAAAAGAGGGUUAAAUAGUACGUGAAAUUGUUGAAAGGGAAGCGCUUGUGACCAGACUUGGGCGCGGCGGAUCAUCCGGGGUUCUCUCCGGUGCACUUCGCCGCGUCUAGGCCAGCAUCAGUUCGUCGCGGGGGAAAAAGGCUUCGGGAACGUGGCUCCUCCGGGAGUGUUAUAGCCCGUUGCAUAAUACCCUGCGGUGGACUGAGGACC
rnacentral:rRNA from 1 species